rnacentral:rRNA from 1 species
UACGUAGGGUGCGAGCGUUGUCCGGAAUUAUUGGGCGUAAAGAGCUUGUAGGCGGUUUGUCGCGUCUGCUGUGAAAUCUCAAGGCUCAACCUUGAGCUUGCAGUGGGUACGGGCAGACUAGAGUGUGGUAGGGGAGACUGGAAUUUCCGGUGUAGCGGUGAAAUGCGUAGAUAUCGGAAGGAACACCUGUGGCGAAAGCGGCUCACUGGACCCGA